rnacentral:rRNA from 1 species
UGAGUCCUACGGGGCGCAGCAGUGAGGAAUAUUGGUCAAUGGUCGGGAGACUGAACCAGCCAAGCCGCGUGAGGGAGGAAGGUACAGAGUAUCGUAAAUCUCUUUUGUCAGGGAACAAAGGCGGGGACGUGUCCCCGGAUGAGUGUACCUGAAGAAAAAGCAUCGGCUAACUCCGUGCCAGCAGCCGCGGUAAUACGGAGGAUGCGAGCGUUAUCCGGAUUUAUUGGGUUUAAAGGGUGCGCAGGCGGUCUGUUACGUCAGCGGGCAAAGCCCUGGGCUCAACCCCG